rnacentral:rRNA from 1 species
UACGAAGGGAGCUAGCGUUGUUCGGAAUCACUGGGCGUAAAGCGCACGUAGGCGGCUAUUCAAGUCGGGGGUGAAAGCCCGGGGCUCAACCCCGGAACAGCCCUCGAAACUAGAUAGCUAGAAUCUUGGAGAGGCGAGUGGAAUUCCGAGUGUAGAGGUGAAAUUCGUAGAUAUUCGGAAGAACACCAGUGGCGAAGGCGACUCGCUGGACAAGUAUUGACGCUGAGGUGCGAAAGCGUGGGGAGCAAACAGG